AUACUUACCUGGCAGCGGAGACACCAUGAUCACGAAGGUGGUUCUCCCAGGGUGAGGCUUAUCCAUUGUACUCCGAUGUGCUGACCCCUGUGAUUUCGCCAAAUGUGGGAAACUCGACUGCAUAAUUUGUGGUAGUGGGGACUGCGUUCGCGCUUUCCCCU
rnacentral:snRNA from 1 species